ensembl:lncRNA
AUGUGGAAGUGUAAGACCUGUGAGUUUUCAGCAUCUUCUAGAUCUGAGUUGUUGAAACAUUACAAGUUAAAGCAUAAACACUUUGGCCGAAGCCACUCAUUCCCAUGCAUGCAUUCAAGUUGUCCUUGUUCUUUUAAGACAUGGAACGCUUUAUUGGUCCAUCUUAGUAGAGUCCAUGCAAAUCAUCAAGAUCCUGCACAAUCAGAACUGACUGCCUUCAGCUGUCAUCUGUGUUCAAACUCUGAACUUAGUUCUGAAAAGGAUUAUUUUGUUCACAUGGGUACACAUUUGAAGAAAAAUGAAGUGGUUACUUGCAUGUUUUCUGGUUGUGAUUUUCAGACAAAUGUUUACGGUACCUUUAGGUCCCACAAAAACAGAAAACACACUCCCCAUUCAUUGAGUGACUUUAAGUUUGGUGUAGUAUCUACGUCUAGGACACAUGAGUGUGACAGUGACGCUCAUGAAAGUGUACAGGUUAAUGAAGUUGCUUCUGAUGAUGUAUGUUUUGGAAGCAGUGCAGAAGUUCAGGACCUACCUAGUGUUAUUGUUGAAAAUUUUGCAGCAAUGUUAUUGAAAUUGGAACAUUUCUUUCAUGUUCCAGGCAUAGCAGUUAAUGAGUUUUUAGAAGAACUGCAUUUUUUGUUGAGUACCUCAUCCCAAACUGCUACAUGUGACAGGCUCAAAGAACUGUUUCAGGAACACAGUCUUGCCUGUGAUGAUGCAAUUAUUCAAAAUAUUGCUAAAGCUGUGUGUGAAUCUCAUCCACUGCACACAGCAAUAGAACCGCGUGGUCCACUAAGCACAGUGUAUCGGCGCAAGGAGUUUUAUAAAAGUCACUUUUGUGUUGUUGAACCUGUUGAAUACAUCCUUGAUUCACAACAGGGAAAAACUUAUCAGUAUGUUCCCAUUUUAAAAUUCCUGCAACAGCUGUUAGCCAAGGAGGAUGUGAUUGAAACAAUACUGGCAAACCACAGAUAUGAGCAUAAUGAAGCUGUUUAUUCAUCCUAUCAGGAUGGCAGUAUCUUUAGGGAAAAUGCAUUCCUGUCAGGAGAUGACUUGCGCCUUUUGUUAAGGUUGUAUGUUGAUGAUUUUGAAGUGUGUAACCCACUUGGUACCUCUCGGAGAGCACACAAGCUCUGUGCAGUGUAUUGGACUCUAAGCAAUUUGCCUACAAGUUCUCAUGCAACAAUGUCGUCCAUUUACUUGGCUGUGUUGUGUAAAAGUAAUGACGUGAAAGAAUACGGCUUCAAUAAAAUCCUUGAGCCUCUUCUUGAGGACCUGGCACAUUUAGAAGAAGUUGGCAUUUUUAUUCCUUCAGUUGGUCAUUUUGUGAAGGGUACUGUGCAUGUCGUGAUUGCAGACAACCUUGGGGCCCAUAGCAUAGCUGGUUAUGUUGAGAGUUUUUCUUCUGAGUAUUACUGCAGAUUCUGCACUGGAAAGAGCUCGGAAAUUCAGACUAAUGAGGUUCGGUCAGGUGGUUUUAGCCUUAGAAAGAGAGAGAGUUAUGAUGCUCACCUGAAAUCUGCACAACAGACUGGCAGCUGUUGUUUUGGUGUUAAAAAAGAAUGUGUAUUCUCCACACGCCUUGCUCAUUUUCAUGUUCUUUCUGGCUAUCCCCCGGAUGUCAUGCAUGAUGUUUUUGAAGGUGUUGUACCAUUUGAGCUUAAACAUUGUUUAUCAAUGCUUUUAUCAAAGAAGUACUUCACCUUUGAAUUUCUCAAUGAACGUAUUGUUAAUUUCCCCUAUAAAUGGACGGAUAAGACAAACAGACCUCAUGCAAUCCCUCGCUCAAUGUUCAGCCAGAAUACUAUUGGAGGCAAUGCUCACGAGAACUGGAACCUGAUAAGGUUGCUUCCAUUUCUUGUAGGACACAUGGUGCCAGAAGAUGAGCCUGCAUGGCUGGUGCUUAUGGAUCUCAAAGACAUUGUUGAGCUUGUGGUAUCACCAGUUCACACUGAUGAGUCAAUUGCAUACCUUGAUGGCAAAAUUUCUGAACACCGACAGAGGUUUCAGGAAGUUUUUCCAGGUGUGAAGUUAAUUCCAAAAGAGCACUUUUUGGAACAUUACCCUGAACUUAUCAAGUCAUAUGGUCCACUUGUGCAUCUGUGGACUAUGCGCUUUGAAGCCAAACACCACUUUUUCAAGCAAGUUGCUCGGGUUACCAAUUGUUUCAAAAAUAUCCCCCUUACACUUGCAGCAAAGCACCAGCUAAUGAUUUCUCACAGUUUGAAAUCGUACCAUCUUGAAAAAUCUGCACUAGAUGUAUCAACUGUAUCAACAGUGCCUCUGACUGUUUUGAGAACAGAAAUAACACAGGUCAUCCAAGACAAGUACCCAGACACUGAAUUCGUCCAGAUCACCACAAGUGUCACCAGUAAAGGCCUCAGUUACAGAAAUGGAAUGAUUGUUGUUUGUCGCUCUUUAGACGGGCUCCCUGAAUUUGCAGAGAUUAUUCAGAUGUGUAUAGUGCAGAAGGGACUGUGUUUUGUACUUAAAGGUCUGUGUGGUUGGUAUAGGGAGCAUUUUAGGGCCUUUGAACUGACCUCUUCUCCAUCAAGGGAGAUUUUCUUUCUUGAACUAAGUGAAUUAGCUGAUGGAUAUCCAUUGGCUGACUACAAGGUAGGAGGUCUUCGUUUGGUGUCACUGAAAAGACAAAUUCAUUCAUAA